GGGCGGGACUGGAACCCGCACUUGGCGCCUCUUACGCCUUACGGUGGCCGCUGCGCCCAGUCACAUCUAUUGCAUUUCUCUGGAAUGACCACAGCAAUAUUUCCAGCCCUUGAUGAUCUUCUAGAACUUUGCCACUUCCCUGCAUCAAGAGGUAAAAUCCAUUUCUAUUCUCUUGAAUUUGAACUGGACUUUGCUUCAAUGAAUUGAGGGCUGAAGAAUUAACACUCUGUGACUUCAUGACUUGUUGGAAAUUGUGAGGAAUCUCAGGCCACAUGGAGGGGCCAGUGAAGAUGUUCCAGCUUAUAGCCCCAGCAACCACCAGGGUUUGUCUUGGUUCAUUUUAUGCUGCUGUAACAGAACACCAGAGACUGAGAAAUUUAUAAGGAAUAGAAGUUUAUUUGCCUCAUGGUUCUGGAGGCUGGGAAGUCCAAGAUCAAGGGGCUGCAUAGAUUGAAGUCCUUUUUGCUGACUCAUAACAUGGAAAGAGAGUGCACUGCAUAGAAGAAAGGAGGCCAAACUCAUUCUUUUAUCAUGAGCCUACUCCUGAAAUAACUCACUCUCAAGAUAAUGGCAUUAACCCAUUCAUGAAGGCAGAACACUCAUGAUGUAAUCACCUCUUAAAGGUCCUAUUUCCUAACACUGUUGCAUUGGGGAUUAAGCUUUCAACACAUGAAUAUUGGGGGACACAUUCAAACCAUAGCAAGGGUUCUUUGUCUGUGUGACUCGGUGUGGUUCAGCAAAUUGCGAUUGGUCUGCUAUAGUGGACUUUCCCCUCACCUCCCAAAUGUUUAUUAUGAAAAAUUUCAAUUUAAAGAAAGGUGGAAGGAAUUGUUGAAAGAAUAUGUCAUCUAGUUUCUACUGUUGUUAACAUUGUGUUAUAUUUGCCUUUUCAUCCAUCCAACCACCCAUCCAUCUAGCCACCUUAUAAUUACUAUUAUUACUUAUUAUUACUAUUAUUUUUAAAGACACCUCUAUUAAAGCAACCAUCUUAUUUUUUGAUUUUAUUUAUUUUCAUAGUUGCAGACAUUAGUAUACUUUACUCCUAGACAUUUUAGCGUGAACAUAAUUAACUGGAGUAUAAUACUUGUUUUCAAUUUCUUUUUAUUUUUGAGGUAAAAUUUACAUACAGUGAAAUCCAAAUCUUAAGUGUACCACUAGAUAAAUUUUGAUAAAUGCAUUAUGCCUGGGCUUCACACAGCCUUUUCAAUAUAUAGAAAAUUUCCAGAUAAUUUAUUUUGUUGUUUUUUUCACACACUAUGUUCUAGACUUUUCCAGGUCCGAGGGAACUAUUGGGGGGAAAGUACUUGUUGUAGUAAAAAAGAUUUUAGGUGUGUUUGUUUUUAAGGUGCAGAAACACAUCACAGAUUAAGGUCUGCAUCUGUGCUUUUUGUUAUUGUUCCAGUUUGAUCUCAGUGACAUUACAAGCAAGCAGAAACACUCAGACAUGAAAUGGCCAGUGCCUGUGAGUUAAGAGCAGGAACUAGGUCUAUUUUUUUGAUAUGUAUCUCAACUACCUGGAAUACUUUAUACUUUUGGCACUCAAUGAAUAUUUGUUGUUGCCAGACGAUCUGUCACAAAAAUUUGCUGGGUCUAUUUUAUGGCUAUUGUUUGUUCACCUUGAAAAUAAUCAUGGGAUCAUAGAAGUCAAAGUCAUGGAGAGCAGCACACAGGUUUCUCAGCUGUUGAUCAAUUCUUUACAGUAAAGCAGGGUUAAAUGUAGAAGGUAUGAUACUGAGAGCUUCUCAAAGGUAUAGAGGUGAAUAGAGGAAAAAGAGCAGAUAAAUUCAGACAGAAUGUCAUUAAGGUCCUAGCAGAAAAAAGACCUGAAUUCUGAGUUCUCUUAUGCUUUCUACUGGAGUUCCGACUCUGUGCUUGCCCUUUCCAGGGCCUGCAGGUGCAUGAAGAUGGGUGGUUACUAUUCCUAGAAAAUGUUUAUGUAGAAAAAUACUGAUACAUGCUGAUAUGGUUUGACUGUGUCCCCACCCAAAUCUCAUCUUGAAUGGAACAUAUUGCAAAGUGGUAGCAUGAUAUUUUACUAAACUAAGUUACUGUAAGACAUUCAGAGAUAUUUUUAAAUGGUACACCAAAUUUCAACACCCGAAAUGCUCACUCAAGCUGAUUACAAACGAUUGCUUGC